rnacentral:rRNA from 1 species
GCUUAGCCCUAAACACAGAUAAUUACAUAAACAAAUAUUUGCCAGAGUACUACUAGCAACAGCUUAAAACUCAAAGGACUUGGCGGUUCUUUAUAUCCUUC